GGAUAACUGGCUUGUGGCAGC
rnacentral:snRNA from 1 species